AAACCAAGAGGUAAUUUUACACAUUUCUGUGUUUUUUUUUUUUUUACUAAUUUAAAUUUAAUACUUAACAUCUUCACAUAAGCCAUCCCAGCCAAACUUUCAAAAAAGACACAACAAAAAUCAAGAAGAAAAGUGAAAGGAAACCACUUCAUGUCAUAUAAUCAUCAGAUGGAGAAGAUGCACCAAAGAAGAAAAAGAUAACAAAAUCCAAGAUAUAUAAAGUCCUCAUCAACUCAUUCUUCUGCCAUAGAGAGUGAUGAUCCCAUUGAAACACUCAUCAAAAGAAAAUCUCAAGCACAUAAAGAUCCAGAGGACUUGAAGCAUAGUACGAAGGUUCAUGAUUAUCAUGAUUGUCUUCCCCAACUCAAAUGUCUUGCUGAGGUGAAGACUUUUCAUCUGCUUUCAAUUACUAUACUUUUGUCUUCACAACUAUUUCAACUUUAAUUUUAUCAUAGGAAAAAAUGGGCAUGAAGGUUGAACCAAAUCUUGAGAAAGUGAAAAUUCAAUCCAAACGUAUUAUGAACUUUACAAUACUUCUUCCAUGGAAUUUGUUCCCGAAGGGGAAUUUUGUGGCCUUCACUUAACAAUAGUUGCGUAUGCUGUGAAUGGCAGCCCAUAUGGAAGUACAUUUGUCCUUCGAGUAGGAUAAUUCUCCCCAACAUUAAUAUUAAUUUCAUUAAUCACGGGAUUUGAAGACCUCUUUCCAAUUAUUAUUUUGACUCUUAUUAUAUGGUUUCGAGAUUUUGUAUUCCUUCUUCUUGUCGGAUUACUCAUUUUAUUGUUUCUUAAUAAAUUAAUUUGAUGAUCA